ACGAACUGAAUUUGGGGAACAUAUUAGCCCCGUCUUCACUUCAAAAGCUCAUGUUCCCUUAAAGAGUUCAUUUUCAAUUUUGUAUUCUGCACCCACACGUGCCGUUACAUCACAUAAUGUUUCUGUUAAAGUUGGUUAGUCGUCUGCUUAUUGGCCACAUGAAAAAUCAAGGUGGAAGUUCUUUCUACUAAUUUUUGAAAGCUCGAAUCAAU
rnacentral:lncRNA from 1 species